GACGAACGCUGGCGGCGUGCUUAACACAUGCAAGUCGAACGGAAAGGCCCUGCUUGCAGGGUGCUCGAGUGGCGAACGGGUGAGUAACACGUGGGUGAUCUGCCCCUUACUUUGGGAUAAGCCUGGGAAACUGGGUCUAAUACUGGAUAGGACCAUGCUGUAGGUGGUGUGUUGGAAAGAUUAGUUUCGGUAAGGGAUGAGCUCGCGGCCUAUCAGCUUGUUGGUGGGGUAAUGGCCUACCAAGGCGUCGACGGGUAGCCGGCCUGAGAGGGUGGACGGCCACAUUGGGACUGAGAUACGGCCCAGACUCCUACGGGAGGCAGCAGUGGGGAAUAUUGCACAAUGGGCGCAAGCCUGAUGCAGCGACGCCGCGUGGGGGAUGACGGACUUCGGGUUGUAAACUCCUUUCAGCCAUGACGAAGCCCUUGUGGUGACGGUAGUGGUAGAAGAAGCACCGGCUAACUACGUG
rnacentral:rRNA from 1 species